rnacentral:lncRNA from 1 species
AGGACUUGUAUAUCCCAAUUUAACCGUUUAACAUACAAUGAUAAAGAAUUAUGAUACCUAUGUCAGAAAACUACCAUGAACAAAAUCCCCUAAAUACAUAACCACAAUUAUCAGUCGCACCUUGUUCGGCUAUUUCGAGACAAAUCAUUUAUGAAUAUGCAAAUUCUAAUCAAACGACGAGGGAUAUAAUCUAAAUGUACCCGAUUUAACACCUCUGAGAAAAGAGGUGGCUCACUUACAUAUGUAUAAGCCUAUGCCACCGAAUUUGAUUUUCAUAUCUAAUAAUUUGUGACCAAAAGUUUAGCCUUUGAAUGCAAUUUGGACAAAUUCGAUAGUUAAACAAUGUUAACAAAUUGAAAGAAUCC